AUUGAACGCUGGCGGCAGGCCUAACACAUGCAAGUCGAACGAGUGGCGGACGGGUGAGUAAUGUCUGGGAAACUGCCUGAUGGAGGGGGAUAACUACUGGAAACGGUAGCUAAUACCGCAUACCAUCGGAUGUGCCCAGAUGUGAUUAGCUAGUGGGUGGGGUAAAGGCUCACCUAGGCGACGAACCCUAGCGGGUCUGAGAGGAGGACCAGCCCCAAUGGAACUGGGACACGGCCCAGACUCCUACGGGAGGAAGCAGUGGGGAAUAUUGCAAAAGGGGCGCAAGCCUGAUGAAGCCAUGCCGCGUGUAUGAAGAAGGCCUUCGGGUUGUAAAGUACGUUCAGCGGGGAGGCGUUACCCGCAGAAGAAGCACCGGCUAACUCCGUGCCAGCAGCCGCGGUAAUUC
rnacentral:rRNA from 1 species